UGGGGAAUAUUGGACAAUGGGCGAAAGCCUGAUCCAGCCAUGCCGCGUGUGUGAAGAAGGUCUUCGGAUUGUAAAUCACUUUAAGUUGGGAGGAAGGGCAGUAAGCGAAUACCUUGCUGUUUUGACGUUACCGACAGAAUAAGCACCGGCUAACUCUGUGCCGGCAGCCGCGGUAAUACAGAGGGUGCAAGCGUUAAUCGGAAUUACUGGGCGUAAAGCGCGCGUAGGUGGUUCGUUAAGUUGAAUGUGAAAGCCCCGGGCUCAACCUGGGAACUGCAUCCAAAACUGGCGAGCUAGAGUAGGGCAGAGGGGGGUGGAAUUUCCUGUGUAGCGGUGAAAUGAGUAGAUAUAGGAAGGAACACAAGUGGCGAAGGCGACCACCUGGGCUCAUACUGACACUGAGGUGCGAAAGCGUGGGGAGCAAACAGG
rnacentral:rRNA from 1 species